rnacentral:rRNA from 1 species
AACGAACGCUGGCGGCAGGCCUAACACAUGCAAGUCGAGCGAAGCCUUCGGGCUUAGUGGCGCACGGGUGAGUAACGCGUGGGAAUAUGCCCUUCGGUUCGGAAUAACACAGGGAAACUUGUUCUAAUACCGGAUACGAUCUACGGAUGAAAGAUUUAUCGCCGAGGGAGUAGCCCGCGUAGGAUUAGCUAGUUGGUGAGGUAAUGGCUCACCAAGGCGACGAUCCUUAGCUGGUCUGAGAGGAUGAUCAGCCACACUGGGACUGAGACACGGCCCAGACUCCUACGGAGGCAGCAGUGGGGAAUAUUGGACAAUGGGCGAAAGCCUGAUCCAGCCAUGCCGCGUGAGUGAUGAAGGCCUUAGGGUUGUAAAGCUCUUUCGCCAGGGAAGAUAAUGACGGUACCUGGAAAAGAAGCCUCGGCUAACUCCGUGCCAGCAGCCGCCGCGGUAA